GAACCUUCUUGUCCUUCUCGGAGCCGUCGGUGAGCAGCACGCCCUUGGCCUGCAUGUGCCGGUACAGCACGCGCUGCAGCGCCGACAUGUCGCACUUGAUGACGUACUCCACCUGCGGGGAUGGGGGGGGGGGAAUCGGAAAUGUGGGGCAGGGGGACGUGGGGCUGAGCCCGGCCCCACAUCCCGGCCCCACGUCCUCUCCUUCCGCCGCCCAGUGCUAAAACCCAGCUCCAAAUCCUCCCCUCCUGCAGCACGGCACCAGAUUCCGGCCCCAAACUCUCUCCAGCUCCAGCCCGGCCCCACAUCCCAGCCCCACAUCUCUUACUGCAGCCUGGCCCCACAUCCCAGCCCCACAUCUCCAUCUCCUGCAGCCUGGCCCCACAUCUCUUACUGCAGCCUGGCCCCAUUCCCUGGCCCCACAUCUCCUACUGCAGCCCGGCCCCAUUCCCUGGCCCCACAUCUCCUUCUCCUGCAGCUCGGCCCCACAUCCCAGCCCCACAUCUCCAUCUCCUGCAGCCUGGCCCCAUUCCCUGGCCCCACAUCUCCUUCUUCUGCAGCCUGGCCCCACAACCCAGCCCCACAUCUCCUUCUCCUGCAGCCCAGCCCCACAUCCCAGCCCCACAUCUCCAUCUCCUGCAGCCUGGCCCCACAUCUCCUUCUCCUGCAGCUCGGCCCCACAUCCCAGCCCCACAUCUCUUACUGCAGCCUGGUCCCAUUCCCUGGCCCCACAUCUCCAUCUCCUGCAGCCCAGCCCCACAUCUCCAUCUCCUGCAGCCUGGCCCCAUUCCCUGGCCCCAUCUCUUACUGCAGCCUGGCCCCAUUCCCUGGCCCCACAUCUCCUUCUCCUGCAGCCCAGCCCCACAUCCCAGCCCCACAUCUCCAUCUCCUGCAGCCUGGCCCCAUCCCCUGGCCCCAUCUCUUACUGCAGCCUGGCCCCAUUCCCUGGCCCCAUCUCUUACUGCAGCCUGGCCCCAUUCCCUGGCCCCACAUCUCCAUCUCCUGCAGCCUGGCCCCAUUCCCUGGCCCCACAUCUCCUACUGCAGCCUGGCCCCA
rnacentral:lncRNA from 1 species